UACAGAGGGUGCAAGCGUUGUUCGGAAUUAUUGGGCGUAAAGCGCGUGUAGGCGGCUUUGCAAGUCGGGUGUGAAAGCCCUCAGCUCAACUGAGGAAGUGCGCCCGAAACUGCAGAGCUUGAGUGCCGGAGAGGGUGGCGGAAUUCCCCAAGUAGAGGUGAAAUUCGUAGAUAUGGGGGAGGAACACCGGUGGCGAAGGCGGCCACCUGGACGGUAACUGGACGCUGAGACGCGAAAGCGUGGGGAGCGAACAGG
rnacentral:rRNA from 1 species